CUCUCUCAACAUCGUUUCUCUCAAACUUCACCCAUGUUCAUUCGAUUCAAUCGUUCAGAUUUUAAUCCCAAAUUGAUUGAAUCAUUGAAUUGUUUCAAAAUCAAAUUUCAAUCACAAAUCGCUCAAAUCACUACUAGCACAGAUCAUUCAAAUCGGUCCAAUCUCUCAAAAAUUAGUUUCAGUCUCGAUUCGGCAUCGCGGGUUCCGUUCUCGAUUCUCCAUAACUGUUCCCGUUCUCGAUUCUUCAUUGUUGUUCUUGUUCUCGAUUCUCCUUCGUUGUUUCCGUUCUCUAUCCACCAUCGUUCUCGUUCUCAGUCCUAAAGCAGCACCUUCGAUGAUAGCGAUUUAGGUUUAAGUAUUUAUGUUUCUGGUAUGGAUCUUUCUAUGGUUGCUUCAAAUGGGGUUGCUUGGUUGGUCCUUAGUACUUGAAUAUGGGAUUGGCGGAGCUGCUGUUGCUUGUGACAUAACCCCUAAUUUGGUAUAAUCUUAUUUUAGUUGUUUUAUUUUGAUUUUGUUUGAUAUAGGCUAUGGAGCAUAGACGCAAACAAUAGAUAUGGCAUUGACAAUGUCGUUGAUAUGUAAACACCAACAAUUUCAAUUUGGUUAGAUUUGCCUUGCAUUUUGGGUGAUUUCUUUGAAAUAAACUAUUAAAUUUUUCUUUCUUCAAUUUUGUGUGUGUCAAGUUUAAGAUUUGGAAUAACAUGUUUGUUUACUUGCCAUCUUGAACUGUAGCGAAUGUAUAUUGUUUGAAUAAAAAGUUUAUAUUGUUCUUUGUAUUGUUUGAUAGAUCCUUUUUAUGUCGAAUUCAAUAUUGGUGUAGGAAAGUGGUUCAUGAGUUAUUUCCUUGCUUUUUGAUUUGAUAUGAUUUAGUUAAUAUUAUGAAUGUGCGCAAAAGCCUGUAAUCCGCGGCCUUUCAUAGAAACAGACCUGUCAAUGAAAAUUAAGAUUGCAAUUAAUCAAUUUGAUUCGUUUUUGUUCUGGCUGAGAUGAAUUGCUACAACCCAAUUACAUAAACUUUC